GGCACAAACUUGUUGCGAGGUGCCCCGCGUCCGGUCCGCCGGCCGGGGAGAAUCUGGGAAGCCGGUGCGAUUCCGGCACGGGCCCGCCGCGGUGACCGGGGAGCUGCCGCCCACGCGCUCCCCGCGAGCGCAGCCACUGGCCAUCGGCUGGGAAGGCGGGCGGUGAGGUGACGAUCCGGGAGUCCGAAGACCGGCCUCGCGUCCACCCAUCGC
rnacentral:ncRNA from 2 species